UUACGGCGAUUAUAUCCCAGGUGUUCACCUCUUCCCAUUUCGAACAGAGUCGUUAAGCCCUGGUGAGCCGAUGGUACUGCGUUAGCGGGAGAGUAGGUCGUCGCCGUAUU
rnacentral:rRNA from 1 species